rnacentral:rRNA from 1 species
CCUACGGGGGGCAGCAGUGAGGAAUAUUGGUCAAUGGACGAGAGUCUGAACCAGCCAAGUAGCGUGAAGGAUGACUGCCCUAUGGGUUGUAAACUUCUUUUAUAUGGGAAUAAAACGUUCCACGUGUGGGAUUUUGUAUGUACCAUAUGAAUAAGGAUCGACUAACUCCGUGCCAGCAGCCGCGGUAAUACGGAGGAUCCGAGCGUUAUCCGGAUUUAUUGGGUUUAAAGGGAGCGUAGGUGGAUUGUUAAGUCAGUUGUGAAAGUUUGCGGCUCAACCGUAAAAUUGCAGUUGAAACUGGCAGUCUUGAGUACAGUAGAGGUGGGCGGAAUUCGUGGUGUAGCGGUGAAAUGCUUAGAUAUCACGAAGAACUCCGAUUGCGAAGGCAGUUCACUGGACUGCAACUGACACUGAGGCUCGAAAGUGUGGGUAUCAAACAGGAUUAGAUACCCUUGUAGUC